GGCAGGAACCCUUUGGAGGGCUACUAAUGGUCAGGAUGGGUGGGUUAGGUUCUCUACUUGGAGUAUCCUGUCUCAACUGCCUGGAUCCUGAAAGAAAAACACAGUUUAAAAAUCAUAAAGUUUAAGUAAAAGGCAGAGGGGAGGGUAAUGUCGCAGGACUGAGGACUAGGUUGGGACUUACUACUUACCAUCAAAGAAAACUGAGAAGUUACCAGUAAGCCAGAGAAAAUGUAAGGCAGGGGUAACUAAACACUAAAAAAUACUUAGACCUUUUGUACAAAUUUGUAAAAAAUAUUAAACAGUCAAACCUUGCUUGUUUCUCAGUAACUUCGGUGUUAAAAAUACCAUUCAAAACAUACCAAAAAAGGAAGAAAAGAUGUUUCCUCAUUACCAUUUGUGUGUAAAAAGUAAAUGGUAAAUACAUCGAACUAAAGUCGGUAAAAAAUCGGUCAAGAGAGGGGACUGGAAAACACAUAUCAGAACUUAAAUCCUGGUUUACUAGUCCUUAAGAGGUUUUAAGACCAUAACCUCUAUGAUUUAAAAAUAAAAAACUAAAAUAAAAGUCUAUGGAAAUCCUGGAUAAGUGAUGUAACUUUUCAAAGUCUACAUAGGAUUUCUGUGCUCUGGGUAUGGAGGGCCAUGUUCCCCAGUUCCUUUGCUGCCCUUUGCCUGGGUGAACACCUCGGCUCAGCCUCCUCUCUUCUUCUCUUCUUGAGGGGUGUGUAUGCAGUCCACUUUUGAGGCCAGAGGGAAAUCUCCGAGGACAAAUUAACACACUGCAGGAAACUCCAGCAGAAGUCUAAUGGCACCUGAAAAAAUAGAAAGAGGAGAUCAGUUAAGAUAUUCUCACUGUAUAUAUAAUUUUAAAAGACUUUGUGUGUACCUGGUCA
rnacentral:lncRNA from 1 species